GGCCAGCAGCCGCGGUAAGACGAAGGAUGCAAGCGUUAUCCGGAUUCAUUGGGUUUAAAGGGAGCGUAGGCGGUCUAUUAAGUCAGUGGUGAAAGCCGGUAGCUUAACUAUCGAAUUGCCAUUGAUACUGGUAGACUUGAGUACAGAUGCUGUGGGCGGAAUAUGACAUGUAGUGGUGAAAUACAUAGAGAUGUCAUAGAACACCGAUUGCGAAGGCAGCUCACAAAACUGUAACUGACGCUGAGGCUCGAAAGUGUGGGGAUCAAACAGGAUUAGAUACCCUGGUAGUCCACACUGUAAACGAUGAUUACUCGCUGCUGGGGGGCAACUUCCAGUGGCUUAGCGAAAGCGAUAAGUAAUCCACCUGGGGAGUACGCCGGCAACGGUGAAACUCAAAGGAAUUGACGGGGGCCCGCACAAGU
rnacentral:rRNA from 1 species